ACGCAUUGGUUUCUCUUUCUUCCUUUUCAUUUUCUCCUUUUCUUUUUCUUUUUAUUUCCUUCGGCCUUAAUUGUCUCCCUUAAUUCCUUUUUCACGUGGAUCCUUCUUAAUCAAUUCUAACAAUCAUCGUUCCUUUGACAUGAUCACCUUAGAAAUAGUACUAGUCUUCGAUGUAGCUUUUUGGUUAAUCAGACCCUUUCUCGUAUCCACAUGAUC
rnacentral:lncRNA from 1 species